GAGAAAGACAUAGUGGUUAUGAUAUUGGCUU
rnacentral:tRNA from 1 species